UGAAGUGAUGGAGGGACGCAGUAGGCUAACUAAAGCGGGCGAUUGGAAGUGCCCGUCUAAGCAGUGAGGUGUGAUAUGAGUCAAAUGCUUGUAUCUGUAACAUUGAGCUGUGAUGGGGAGCGAAGUUAAGUAGCGAAGUUAGUGACGUCACACUGCCGAGAAAAGCUUCUAGCGAUGUAUCAUACUCUACCCGUACCGCAAACCGACACAGGUAGUCGAGGCGAGUAGCCUCAGGUGAGCGAGAGAACUCUCGUUAAGGAACUCGGCAAAAUGACCCCGUAACUUCGGGAGAAGGGGUGCUGACUUACAGUCAGCCGCAGUGAAUAGGCCCAAGCAACUGUUUAUCAAAAACACAGCUCUCUGCUAAAUCGUAAGAUGAUGUAUAGGGGGUGACGCCUGCCCGGUGCUGGAAGGUUAAGAGGAGGGUUUAGCGCAAGCGAAGAUCUGAAUUGAAGCCCCAGUAAACGGCGGCCGUAACUAUAACGGUCCUAAGGUAGCGAAAUUCCUUGUCGGGUAAGUUCCGACCCGCACGAAAGGCGUAAUGAUUUGGGCACUGUCUCAACGAGAGACUCGGUGAAAUUUUAGUACCUGUGAAGAUGCAGGUUACCCGCGACAGGACGGAAAGACCCCAUGGAGCUUUACUGCAGUUUGAUAUUGAGUAUCUGUACCACAUGUACAGGAUAGGUAGGAGCCUAUGAAGUCGGGACGCCAGUUUCGACGGAGGCGCUGUUGGGAUACUACCCUUGUGUUAUGGCUACUCUAACCCGGAUAGGUUAUCCCUAUCGGAGACAGUGUCUGACGGGCAGUUUGACUGGGGCGGUCGCCUCCUAA
rnacentral:rRNA from 1 species